rnacentral:rRNA from 1 species
CCGUACACAAAAGCGCAUGUGCUGUGAGCUCGAUGAGUAGGGCGGGACACGUGGUAUCCUGUCUGAAUAUGGGGGGACCAUCCUCCAAGGCUAAAUACUCCUGACUGACCGAUAGUGAACCAGUACCGUGAGGGAAAGGCGAAAAGAACCCCGGCGAGGGGAGUGAAAAAGAACCUGAAACCGUGUACGUACAAGCAGUGGGAGCCCCACCACUAAGCCAGUGGUGAACUCCACAUCCGCAUCCUUUGCUGAGGAUACGGUUAACGGAGCGAAAGCGACGUUCAACCGCAAAACAAGCAGAGGGGGCUUAGUGGUGGGGUGACUGCGUACCUUUUGUAUAAUGGGUCAGCGACUUAUAUUCUGUAGCAAGGUUAACCGAAUAGGGGAGCCGGAGGGAAACCGAGUCUUAAUUGGGCGUUAAGUUGCAGGGUAUAGACCCGAAACCCGGUGAUCUAGCCAUGGGCAGGUUGAAGGUUGGGUAACACUAACUGGAGGACCGAACCGACUAAUGUUGAAAAAUUAGCGGAUGACCUGUGGCUGGGGGUGAAAGGCCAAUCAAACCGGGAGAUAGCUGGUUCUCCCCGAAAGCUAUUUAGGUAGCGCCUCGUGAAUUCAUCUCCGGGGGUAGAGCACUGUUUCGGCUAGGGGGCCAUCCCGGCUUACCAACCCGAUGCAAACUGCGAAUACCGGAGAAUGUUAUCACGGGAGACACACGGCGGGUGCUAACGUCCGUCGUGAAGAGGGAAACAACCCAGACCGCCAGCUAAGGUCCCAAAGUCAUGGUUAAGUGGGAAACGAUGUGGGAAGGCCCAGACAGCCAGGAUGUUGGCUUAGAAGCAGCCAUCAUUUAAAGAAAGCGUAAUAGCUCACUGGUCGAGUCGGCCUGCGCGGAAGAUGUAACGGGGCUAAACCAUGCACCGAAGCUGCGGCAGCGAACGUAUCACCCAAGACAACUUUACGGAGUUGACGAUUGACGGAGCGAAGCGACGUCAAAGCGUUCAUUAAAGUCGAGUUGGCUUAGGGAUACGUUCGUUGGGUAGGGGAGCGUUCUGUAAGCCUGUGAAGGUGUGUCGUGAGGCAUGCUGGAGGUAUCAGAAGUGCGAAUGCUGACAUAAGUAACGAUAAAGCGGGUGAAAAGCCCGCUCGCCGGAAGACCAAGGGUUCCUGUCCAACGUUAAUCGGGGCAGGGUGAGUCGACCCCUAAGGCGAGGCCGAAAGGCGUAGUCGAUGGGAAACGGGUUAAUAUUCCCGUACUUGGUGUUACUGCGAAGGGGGGACGGAGAAGGCUAUGUUGGCCGGGCGACGGUUGUCCCGGUUUAAGCGUGUAGGUGUGUGUUCCAGGUAAAUCCGGUUCACUUUAACACUGAGGCGUGACGACGAGGCACUACGGUGCUGAAGCAACAAAUGCCCUGCUUCCAGGAAAAGCCUCUAAGCAUCAGGUAACACGAAAUCGUACCCCAAACCGACACAGGUGGUCAGGUAGAGAAUACCAAGGCGCUUGAGAGAACUCGGGUGAAGGAACUAGGCAAAAUGGUGCCGUAACUUCGGGAGAAGGCACGCUGACACGUAGGUGAAGUGAUUUACUCAUGGAGCUGAAGUCAGUCGAAGAUACCAGCUGGCUGCAACUGUUUAUUAAAAACACAGCACUGUGCAAACACGAAAGUGGACGUAUACGGUGUGACGCCUGCCCGGUGCCGGAAGGUUAAUUGAUGGGGUCAGCGCAAGCGAAGCUCCUGAUCGAAGCCCCGGUAAACGGCGGCCGUAACUAUAACGGUCCUAAGGUAGCGAAAUUCCUUGUCGGGUAAGUUCCGACCUGCACGAAUGGCGUAAUGAUGGCCAGGCUGUCUCCACCCGAGACUCAGUGAAAUUGAACUCGCUGUGAAGAUGCAGUGUACCCGCGGCAAGACGGAAAGACCCCGUGAACCUUUACUAUAGCUUGACACUGAACAUUGAGCCUUGAUGUGUAGGAUAGGUGGGAGGCUUUGAAGUGUGGACGCCAGUCUGCAUGGAGCCGACCUUGAAAUACCACCCUUUAAUGUUUGAUGUUCUAACGUGGACCCGUAAUCCGGGUUGCGGACAGUGUCUGGUGGGUAGUUUGACUGGGGCGGUCUCCUCCUAAAGAGUAACGGAGGAGCACGAAGGUUGGCUAAUCCUGGUCGGACAUCAGGAGGUUAGUGCAAUGGCAUAAGCCAGCUUGACUGCGAGCGUGACGGCGCGAGCAGGUGCGAAAGCAGGUCAUAGUGAUCCGGUGGUUCUGAAUGGAAGGGCCAUCGCUCAACGGAUAAAAGGUACUCCGGGGAUAACAGGCUGAUACCGCCCAAGAGUUCAUAUCGACGGCGGUGUUUGGCACCUCGAUGUCGGCUCAUCACAUCCUGGGGCUGAAGUAGGUCCCAAGGGUAUGGCUGUUCGCCAUUUAAAGUGGUACGCGAGCUGGGUUUAGAACGUCGUGAGACAGUUCGGUCCCUAUCUGCCGUGGGCGCUGGAGAACUGAGGGGGGCUGCUCCUAGUACGAGAGGACCGGAGUGGACGCAUCACUGGUGUUCGGGUUGUCAUGCCAAUGGCACUGCCCGGUAGCUAAAUGCGGAAGAGAUAAGUGCUGAAAGCAUCUAAGCACGAAACUUGCCCCGAGAUGAGUUCUCCCUGAGACUUAGAGUCUCCUGAAGGAACGUUGAAGACGACGACGUUGAUAGGCCGGGUGUGUAAGCGCAGCGAUGCGUUGAGCUAACCGGUACUAAUGAACCGUGAGGCUUAACCUUACA